rnacentral:rRNA from 1 species
AUACUAAGAGUAUAUGGUGGAUGCCUAGACAUCAAUGGACGAUGAAGGGCGUAGCAGCCUGCGAUAAGCUUCGGGGAGGUGGCAAGCAACCUUUGAUCCGGAGAUUUCCGAAUGGGGAAACCCAACUAAGUAAACCUUAGUUAUCUCUACCUGAAUAUAUAGGGUAGUUGAGGAAGACCUGGCGAAGUGAAACAUCUCAGUAGCCAGAGGAAUAUAAAAUAAUAAUGAUUCCCUAAGUAGUGGCGAACGAACGGGGAAGAGCCCAAACCUUUUAGACCUUAUAGUUCGUGAAAGUUAUGUUUUCGGAUGUGACUGGAUCUGACUAUUCAAGGCUGUCAGGCCACAUGUCUAAUUGGGGUAGCGAGAUAGUUAUUUUCAAAAUCUGACAAUUUUGUGCAAGUAAUAUAGAGUUUUAGUCAAAUGAGCUGGAAAGCUCAGCUAAAGAAGGUGAUAGCCCUGUAGGCGAAAAAACUUUAUAUCUUGUUUAGCUAUUCUCAAGUAGUGCAGGACACGAGAAAUCCUGUAUGAAUCUGCCGGGACUAUCCGGUAAGGCUAAAUACCAUUGAUGAUCGAUAGUGAACUAGUACCGUGAGGGAAAGGUGAAAAGCACCCCGGAAGGGGGAUGAAAUAGUAUCUGAAACCAUAUACUUACAAGGAGUUAGAGCCCCAUUUCGGUGGGGUGAUAGCGUUCCUAUUGAAGAAUGAGCCAACGAGUUUGUGUAUUUUGCGAGCUUAAGUCUGAGAAGGACGGAGGCGUAGUGAAAGCGAGGGUUAAUAGCCCGAUUUUAGUAUAAUGCACAAGACCCGAAACCCGGUGAUCUAGCCAUGGCCAGGGUGAAGCCAGCCUAAAAACUGGUGGAGGCCCGAACCCACGCACCGUGCAAAUUGCCGGGAUGAGCUGUGGAUAGCGGAGAAAUUCCAAUCGAGCUUAGUAAUAGCUGGUUC